CAUAACUCCCUUAAGAAUGCUAUUGCCCAAAUCGCUACAGUCUCUGGCCAGGAGGUCUGUGGUCCCCACUGCCUACCUGAAUUCCAUGCUUUAGCCUUUCCCUGAAACAGGGGUGUAAAGAAGACUCUAGAAACAGAUGCAGGGCAGGAGCCCUAGUCAAGCUUCCCAACCCUCCUGGCACCUUUUUACACGUUUAGCUAGGAUUGUUUCCUAUGUCCCCAAAUGGUUUGUAUAUAUAUCUCCCCAGGGGAGGGCAGGGUCCAUGAAUAUUGUGAGCAGCAAGGUUAUCUAGUCUUCCAGAGAGUCAUUCGCCUGGUGGGGAGGAACAGCUCAGGCUGUUCUUUCGCAAGUGAUUCCAACAGAUCACCAGUGGUGCCCUAAGACACAAUCACUGUCAACCUGGAUUGUUUUAAACACUUCUAUUUGGGAUUUCCUAGGUAGAAUGAUGUCUCAGGAACAGGAGAGGACCUGGGACAGAGAGAGCUAGGAUCUGAAAGGAGGAUGAGACUCAGGUGGGGAAGAGACCGAGAAGCCUAGGCCAGGAACUUCAUACACAGGCCAGAGAGCCUGGCCCUUACGGUCCACAGGAUAAGAAGUGUUGAGGUCUGGAGGCAGAGGUGCCAGAGACUCUGUGUGCAAUGUCUUACCCUUGCCAAGACCCGGAAGAGCUGGGCAGCUGGGAGCAAGAAACGACCUGGCAGCGACUGUCUGGUGGCCAACAGAGAGGCCCACCCACGAGGCUGGGCUGGUGCGCCUGGCUUCUCCUGCCAAGACACUUCUGCUCUGGCUACAAACACCUUGUGAGAUCGACGGUGCCUUCUAAUUCCCUGCAAACCCACAGCAUGAUCGCCAGCCAGGUUUUGGCGCUUGUAAGUCAUUUUCUUCUGCCUUUUCCAAGCAGGAAAGCCAGGGAGAGCUGGGCACUGGAGCACCUCACUCUUAGGAAUGAGUGUUCUGUUCUUGGUUACUCUCUGAGGUGGAGCUCAGGACUGCGUGCAGCGAGAAAAGACUAGAACAUCCUCCUCCUGGAGAGGAGGAAGCCCUGACCCACAGAUCACCUAAUGCAAUUUCCUUGUUAAUAGUUGAGGAAAUAGAAAUUCAGGAAGGAAAGACUUGCUCCCAAGUGCUCUCUCCGUCUCCCACACGCAGGCACACACAGGCACCGAGCAGGCCGGCGCCCAGGCCCCAGGCAGCCUUCUGACAGGGACAGCUUCCUGGGCCUUCGGCUUGUGUGGCUGUGCAGGGCCUUGUGCUCAGAAGGGCCCUGGGCUUGAUUGAACGCUCUGCUGUCACCAUCUUGAAUUCUUAAUCAUUUGAAACAAAGGCACCACGUGUCAUUUUGCAGUGGGCCCUGCAAGUUGUGGCAGCGGGUCCUGCCCCUCACCCCCACUUCCCACUGCGUUCUGAUGAAGAAGGAAGCACAGGCCAUCCAAGCUCUUCUUGGCCACGAGCUGGGGCAGAGACUUUGGGUACUGUUCUUAGCACAAGAUAAGCCCUUCAGAGAAGGCGGAGGAAGGGAGGAUGCCUUUGCUUCAGGCCCAAGGCUGUGGCUCUGGCCUCGGCUCCUCAGCAAGUCCUCAGCUGGGGCAUGAGCCUCAGUCACUCCCAUCAGAUCUCUGGCCUGCCAAGAUGGCCCGUCCCAGCCCUGUUCCUUUCCAAAGCCCCUCAGUCUCCCUGGCAGAAACCCAAGGGGGCGGGAGAGGGGAGGGAUGAAAGGAAAGUGAAAGUCUCAGCCUCUCUGGAUGGCCCUUCUCCUCCUCCCCCCUCCCCCUGCCCCCCUGCCGUUG
ensembl:lncRNA